GACGAACGCUGGCGGCGUGCCUAAUACAUGCAAGUCGAGCGAAGUUUUUCUGGUGCUUGCACCGGAAAAACUUAGCGGCGAACGGGUGAGUAACACGUAAAGAACCUGCCUCAUAGACUGGGACAACUAAUGGAAACGAUAGCUAAUACCGGAUAACAGCAUUAACUGCAUGGUUGAUGUUUAAAAGUUGGUUUUGCUAACACUAUGAGAUGGCUUUGCGGUGCAUUAGCUAGUUGGUGGGGUAAAGGCCUCCCAAGGCGACGAUGCAUAGCCGACCUGAGAGGGUGAUCGGCCACACUGGGACUGAGACACGGCCCAGACUCCUACGGGAGGCAGCAGUAGGGAAUCUUCCGCAAUGGGCGGAAGCCUGACGGAGCAACGCCGCGUGAGUGAAGAAGGAUUUCGGUUCGUAAAGCUCUGUUGUUAGGGAAGAAUGAUUGUGUAGUAACUAUACACAGUAGAGACGGUACCUAACCAGAAAGCCACGGCUAACUACGUG
rnacentral:rRNA from 1 species